GAAAUGCGAUAAGUAGUGUGAAUUGCAGAAUUCAGUGAAUCAUCGAAUCUUUGAACGCACAUUGCGCCCUUUGGUAUUCCUUAGGGCAUGCCUGUUCGAGCGUCAUCUAAACCUUCAAGCCCUGCUUGGUGUUGGGUGCCUGUCCCGCCUCCGCGCGCGGACUCACCUCAAAUCCAUUAGCGGCCCCCGCGUCGGCCACGAGCGCAGCAGAAACGCGAACUCGUGAGCCCGUCCGGGCGGCUCCCAGAAGCUACACCCACCCAGUUUGACCUCGGAUCAGGUAGGGAUACCCGCUGAACUUAAGC
rnacentral:misc_RNA from 1 species